rnacentral:rRNA from 1 species
UACGGGGGGAGCAAGCGUUGUUCGGAUUUACUGGGCGUAAAGGGCGCGUAGGCGGUCUUGUGUGUCUACUGUGAAAGCGUACAGCUUAACUGUAUUUUGUCGGUAGAAACUGCAGGACUUGAGGCUGGGAGGGGCUGGUGGAAUUCCCUGUGUAGCGGUGAAAUGCGUAGAGAUGGGGGAGAACACUUGUGGCGAAGGCGGCCAGCUAGACCAGCACUGACACUGAGGCGCGACAGCGUGGGGAGCAAACAGG